rnacentral:rRNA from 1 species
UACGGAGGUUGCGAGCGUUAUCCGGACUUCCUGGGUUUAAAGGGUGCGUAGGCGGCCAUGUAAGUCAGGAGUGAAAGUUUGCGGCUCAACCGUAAAAUUGCUUUUGAUACUGCAUGGCUGGAAUCAGGAUGAGGUCAGCGGAAUGUGGCAUGUAGCGGUGAAAUGCAUAGAUAUGCCAUAGAACACCAAUUGCGAAGGCAGCUGGCUAGACCUGUAUUGACGCUGAGGCACGAAAGCGUGGGGAGCGAACAGG